rnacentral:lncRNA from 1 species
AUGUGUAGAGAAAUCUGCCCGAAGAGCGAAUCACGUGACAUUUGUGUUGCGCGUGAACUCGUGUUCACUCUCAGUCAGUUGUGGGCAGUCGUUGGCGGACAAAGGACAAAGAACGAACACAGGAAGGAAGCUUGGGAGCCAGAGACUGUAUUCCUAUGGAAAUGUGAAAUCAUGCCAGUCCUUUAGUAGGGACAUUGAGGGAGCCAACACAUUGCAAGUCCUGUAUGUUCCCUGCCUUCAAUCUUCUAGACCUCUACUGCUGGUGUCUUCUGUUCUUUUGGUACAGACUGUUUGAAAAGACUGGCAAAAAAUGACUGAUGAAUAAAACUACAGCAACAACAAUUAAGCAACAACAGACCAGCUAACUCAGACGAACUGCCAAUAGCUGCUGGAAAUGUGGGACAGAGUGAAUAACUUCCAGCUGGAUCUUGUCUGGAGCUUUCUGGAGUUCAUUUGAACUACAUCUGUACAGUCAACACUAUAAAUCAGGCUGGUGAGUCUGUGAUUGGUUCUACACCAAGAAAUGAGGAGACUUCUUUGUUCUGAUGUCUGCCAUCACUUCAGUCUGUCCUGAGAAUCACCAUGGCAAUGGUGUCAGAACAGGAACCAGAACAUACCUUAUUGAAAACCUAGACAUUCUCAUUCUUCCAAUCUGUCGUAGGGUUCAUGGGAGGUCAUUGCCAACAUAAUACAGAUGCCCCUGUUCUAAGAUUCAUUCCUGCAAACCAAGACCAAACAUGGAUAAAGUAUCGGCUAAUUCAU